rnacentral:tRNA from 1 species
GUGAUCGUAGCUCAGCGGUAGAGCACCAGCUUGUGGAGCUGGCCGUCGCGGGUUCGAAUCCCGUCGAUCACC